rnacentral:rRNA from 1 species
AACGAACGCUGGCGGCAGGCCUAACACAUGCAAGUCGAGCGCCCUCUUCGGAGGGAGCGGCGGACGGGUUAGUAACGCGUGGGAACGUGCCCUUUGCUACGGAACAACUGCUGGAAACGGCAGCUAAUACCGUAUGUGCCCUACGGGGGAAAGAUUUAUCGGCAAAGGAUCGGCCCGCGUUGGAUUAGAUAGUUGGUGGGGUAAUGGCCUACCAAGUCGACGAUCCAUAGCUGGUUUGAGAGGAUGGAAUCAGCAACACUGGGACUGAGACACGGCCCAGACUCCUACGGGAGGCAGCAGUGGGGAAU